UGAGUGUAAAGACCUUAGGGUGAAGCAAUUGGAGGGCAAGCUUUGGUGCCAGCAGCCGCGGUAACUCCAACUCCAAGAGUGUCUAUGGUGGAUGCUGCAGUUAAAGGGUCCGUAGUCGUGAAUGCAAUUAAAUGUCGUUGUUCAAUAGCGAUGAGUUUGCUAAUGUUUGCGGAACGGAUAGGGAGUGUAGUAUAGACUGGCGAAGAAUGAAAUCUCAAGACCCAGUUUGGACUAACGGAGGCGAAGGCGACACUCUUAGACGUAUCUUAGGAUCAAGGACGAAGGCAGGAGUAUCGAAAGUGAUUAGACACCGCUGUAGUUCCUGCAGUAAACUAUGCCGACAGCCUGUGUGUGAGAAUACGUGGGCGGGAGAAAUCUUAGUGUUCGGGCUCUGGGGAUAGUACGCUCGCAAGGGUGAAACUUAAAGCGAAAUUGACGGAAGGACACUACCAGGAGUGGAUUGUGCUGCUUAAUUUAACUCAACGCGGGAAAACUUACCAGGGUCAAGUCAUUCGUUGAUCGAAUACGUGAGAAUGGCAGGAGUGGUGCAUGGA
rnacentral:rRNA from 1 species